AUUGAACGCUGGCGGCAUGCUUUACACAUGCAAGUCGAACGGUAACAGGUCUUCGGAUGCUGACGAGUGGCGAACGGGUGAGUAAUACAUCGGUACGUGCCCGAUCGUGGGGGAUAACGAAGCGAAAGCUUUGCUAAUACCGCAUAAGAUCUACGGAUGAAAGCAGGGGACCGCAAGGCCUUGCGCGAACGGAGCGGCCGAUGGCAGAUUAGGUAGUUGGUGGGAUAAAAGCUUACCAAGCCGACGAUCUGUAGCUGGUCUGAGAGGACGACCAGCCACACUGGGACUGAGACACGGCCCAGACUCCUACGGGAGGCAGCAGUGGGGAAUUUUGGACAAUGGGCGAAAGCCUGAUCCAGCCAUGCCGCGUGCAGGAUGAAGGCCUUCGGGUUGUAAACUGCUUUUGUACGGAACGAAAAGACUCUUUCUAAUAAAGAGGGUCCAUGACGGUACCGUAAGAAUAAGCACCGGCUAACUACGUGCCAGCCGCCGCAGUAAAAC
rnacentral:rRNA from 1 species